CAGUCACCCACACUCUAGACACAGCCUCCUAUUGAGCUCACUUGAGUGGAGACACUCAAGAGAGCAGGAUGCUCUGCUGUUGUCUCCCGACUUGUCGAGGCUGUGGCUUCAGGAAAGCCAAGAAACAGAGCCUUUUCAGUUGCUACACACAUUGGCUUGGCCCUCACCUGCACCGCCUCUGGCCAUUUGGCAGGAGGAGCCCUCAGCCUAGGUGUUGGCUAGCAGGAUGGGAGAGUGGGUGCUGGGGACCAAGCUCCUCUACGUAUAUGUCAGUCCUGAGCCCUCCAGGUGUCAUCUCAUUCCCUCCCUGGCUGGAGUUCUACACAGACACUGCUGGGUACGUGAUCCCUGCUGGGGUUUCCCCCUGUGGCCAAGUCGAGGCAGGUGCCUGAGACAUCC
rnacentral:lncRNA from 1 species